rnacentral:lncRNA from 1 species
UUGGAUGUUUUUUUAGUGUUUUUUUUCCCUCUUAUUUGCAUGCUUUGGUUCUAUUAUUAUCGUUAUUCCUUGAUUGUUCAUAUUAUUGUUAAAAUAGUGCAUGUAAUAUAAUUCUCGUAAACUGCCUUUAUUAUUAUAUUCGUUAUUGUUAUUUAUUAGUGCAAUAUUUCAUGCAUGUGAUAUUUCGAACAUCGUACAUUUUUAUCCAAAUUUGUAAAAAUACAUUUUUUUAAAAAC